GACGAACGCUGGCGGCGUGCUUAACACAUGCAAGUCGAGCGGAGCGGCGAACGGGUGAGUAACGCGUGAGUAACUGCCCCCCUCUCUGGGAUAACAGUUGGAAACGGCUGCUAAUACCGGAUAGUGGGGGAUGACUCGCGUCCUAUCAGCUUGUUUGGGGGGUAGUGGCAUACCAAGGGGACGACGGGUAGCCGGCCUGGGAGGGGGAACGGCCACAAGGGUCUGAGAGACGGAGCAAACGCGUACGGGGGACAGCAGGGGGGAAUAUUGCACAAUGGGGGAAACUGUGUUGAAGAAGCGCGCGUGCGGGAUGACCGCUUUCGGGUUGUGAACCGCUUUAAGUUAUGACGCGGUAGUGGCAGAAGAAGCACCGGCUAACUACGUGCCAGCAGCCGCGGUAAUAC
rnacentral:rRNA from 1 species